UGGUUCUGGCAUCGAUGAAGAACGCAGCGAAAUGCGAUAAGUAAUGUGAAUUGCAGAAUUCAGUGAAUCAUCGAAUCUUUGAACGCACAUUGCGCCCUCUGGUAUUCCGGGGGGCAUGCCUGUUCGAGCGUCAUUACACCACUCAAGCCUUUGCUUGGUCUUUGGGUGAUCGUCCCUUUUCCCCGGGGUGCAUCCAAAAGUUAGCGGCGGUGCGGCCGGAUUUCCCAGCGCAGUAGAAUUAAACCCUCGCUGAAGUUGAAACCGUCUGCCCCGGCCGAAAAUCGACGGGAGACCGUGCGGAUUGACUCGCUAUUUUGCCCACAAAAGCAGAAAGAACAGAGUGAUUCGCAGCUUUCAUCACUUAUCAAUGGUUGACCUCGGAUCAGGUAGGGAUACCCGCUGA
rnacentral:misc_RNA from 1 species